GUGUUUCUUUAUUUUUUGCUCAUUUAUUUCUUAAAACUAAAUUGUGAUUUGGUAUCUUCCGGGGAGGGGCUAAGGGGUAUUUAAGGACCGCUACGGCAGUCGUUCGUGCUGGCGGGGCUUAGCAACGUCGCGUAUCCCCUCGCUGCUCCACGGGACCUGGUGUAAACAAAACCAAUCACCGCAGAAGUUUUCCAACGGAGCCAUAAUCUUUUCUUUCCUUUUUUUUUUUUUUUUUUUUUAAAUUCCAAAACCGAACCCGUGACAUAUGAUUAUUAUUGAUUAUGUUGAAAUGCCUUUGAAACGAGCGUCUUCCUAUACUAUUGCACUCUCACCAAUGGCGCAGCGUCAGUCCUGUUGAGGAAAUGCGCCGUGAUGUUUUUCCCAGAAGAUGGCGCCUUCUGCUCGCGACAGUUGUUGUUUCGCUGCCCCAGCAGGCUCGUCAUCCACUUUUGACCUCGGCACUGGCAUGCACUCGGAGAGGCGCAGUAGCAGAUUUGGGCCACCAAUUUCCAGUAAAGUGGUCUUCAAUUAUUACACAAUGGAUCUCCCCCCCACCGCCCAACAGUCGUAGCUAUAAAAAAAAAAACAUUGAUGGACAGCGUGAAAAAAGAGAACGUGAUGAAGCAUUUCCCCUGGCGCUACAUGAACUUUUGAACUUCUCUCCUAAAUACCAUCCCUCUCUGAAACGAGACGAAAGCCACGCAGACUGCAUGAGACCGGUCGAGAGCAGCAUUAACGACAUUUGGUUCCUCAAAUUUAACUGUGGAACACAGACAGGAACACAAAUGAGCAGAUGACUUAUUACUAGUGAAUGUAUUUAUUAUUUAGUCAAAAGGCGACACAAUUGUAGUGACUUACAACGCCGCACCAUCUGCCCUGUUUGGAGUUUUUGUUUGACAUCAUUCUGUUGGUACGCCGCAGUCGAAGCGGCUCGCGUCGAUGAGCCCAAACUUUGUGCAUUCGGCCUUAAUAAAGCGAGCCAAUAAUUUGUCGUUGAAAAAAUGCCGAGGCCGAGACUGCCCUAAACAUAAAUAGGAUCUCGUACAGAUGGAGAAGGUCAAAUUGAAAGUUCAAGAGGAGCCAAGUCAAACUGAGUGCUGUGGGAACUCUGAAUGUUCUUUAGUUUUGAAUUUGGACCUGCUGGCCAGUUAACACUUUUGUUCUCAUGUCUUUUACAACAUUGUUUAAAAGUAUAUACCACAUUUAAAAUCAGUACUAUUGUGUUACAAACCGGAAUUCAUCUGAACAAUUAAUCCAGACAAAUGUUAUGAAUGUUCUUGAAUUGUGAAUAAUCUUAAGAGCAGCUACGACCGCUUAUUCAAAACCGAAAUAAUGUUCUGCCUUCAUUAGUGUCCUUGUGAGAAGAGGCCUGAAUGUGAUUAAUUUAGGCCAGCAAUGCUAAUCUAUGCCUUUUACUUUAUAGCAGAUAUACCUUCUGGGAGCAAGUAAAUCUACUUAGCCACUCUGUCUAAUGAGGUUCUUGUGUCUGGAAGCUUCCAUUCUCAAGGGAGCGUUGGGAACAUAUGCGAAAGUGCAUCAGACUAAUAAGUCGAAAUGCAGCUGCAGGUCGAUCUGCUUGCCACCUGUCACCUCCGCGGGGAACGUGCCUGUCGACUUGAAGUGAUUCCAUGCUUUCAUUGGACAAAUGUGAUAUUGUUCUUACCCAAUAAAGAAAUUAGUCCGGCUGA